GUCUAAGGCCAUACCACCCUGAACAUGCCCAAUCUCAUUUGAUCCUGGAAGCUAAGCAGGGUUGGGCCUGGUUAGUACUUGGAUGGGAGAUAAAGAUCAUCUGGACA
rnacentral:rRNA from 1 species